AAAAUACGACAAGUACAGUGCAGCUAGUGAUGACUUCGUACCGCGUUAAGGGGGUCGAACACCGGACGAGAAGCGUCUCGCUGUGCCGUGUAUAGCAUUAUUCGAGGUAUCCCGCGCACUUUUUCAGUUUAUGGCCAGCAAUAUUGUUAUGUUUAAGGACAUUAUGGAGUUAAGAUAUAUCAGUACUGUGUUAUGAUUGUACUGUAUAAGUUAAUUAAAUACAAUCGUUGCUGAGUCUGCAGUCUGAACACUUUACCUCAGAGCGUCCGUAAACUGAAUGAAUUUGAAUAUCACCUGAAAAUCCAAUAACAUCAGCAAAUUUCAAUUUAAGUAGCUGAUUUCUGUAAAUGAAUGUACAUUUCAGCACAUGGUGAAGUCCGUAUAUACAUUAACGACGAUUUCAGACAAAUAAGUGUAAAUUUAAAACUAUGUAUAUGGCGCUAUACGCUGCAGACAGACGCGAAAUGGCUUCGCCGGUACACACACAUACCCUGUGUCUCCAAAGGUCGUGAAUCAGUAUAUAGUGUACACAAGUUCGGGCACUGGUAAGGACUUUAGCUCACUUGACAUUGGGACACUGUUCACUUUAUCCUGUGAUGUGGCUGCUUAAAGGUGUUGUGAUCACUCACAGCUGUUACGCAUCAACAACCGGCAAAACCAACAGCUCUCUGACUAAAUUUUUAAACAAUACAUUGUGAAAAACGCUGUCAUUAUCCUUUUAUAUAUCCGUGCAUAAAAUUCGAGGAAUAUAAUUACAUUUUAAAUAUAUAUAUAUAUUUUUAACAAUUUUAAAUAAAUAUUAUUAUUUAUAUCAUGCGAUUUUCGGUUGGAGAAAAGGUCACGUGAUUUGUGGUAAGGGAACAUGGGGACCAUCAAUGCUCACUGGGUUUUGCGUUGCAUUGAGUUAAGUUAUGUUUACCAGCUGUGCCAUGCUUAUAUUAUACAUUGCUCUACUGGCUGAAGUAGUGAGAUUUAAACAAGCUGGUCAAGUCUUCAAAUUGUUGCUAACCUCUAUAUUGCUAUGUUUUCUCCAGGUCUUUUUAAAUGGACAGCUUUGUUGCUGAUAAGCUAUCUGAGUGGUGGCUGUUUAAGCUGACAGAGACAUUUUUGAGGCCGUCUACAGUGUUGGGAAGAAGACAAUCCGGCACUCCACUGAAGAGUCCUGGACAGCAUUCAUACACCAAAUGUCUGUUGGAACAAAUAUGGUGGAAUACAGUGGCGGCUCGUGACUGCUCAUCCGAGGAUGCGCUAAUUCAAAAUGAGUGUUCAGAUUGUCACGUGUGUGGUUUCCUUUUCCAAAAUAUGUGUCCUGCGUGUCGAGAGAUCAAAACUGUUUAUGAUAAAAGAGACACUCAUGUUCACAAAAUACACACUAGACACUUUCUUAACAGUAAACUCUGAUUACGCAUGAGAUUAUGCCAGUAUCUGGCAAACGCAAUCAUCUCUUUUAUCAUAAACCCUUUAGACGCGUCUGCAGCAGGCACUUAUUUUGGCAUGACACGUGAUGCACCCAGGAUCUCUCAAAGCGCAGAACACAUAUUUGGAAAUAACGAACCACACACAUGACGACUACAUACAUGUUGUGACGAACUUCGCAUCGAGCCCCCUCAAAAAAUAAGUCACCGGCCCCCACUGAUGAAAUACCUUCAGCAAUCGAUGCCAUUCCCCUCUGGGAGAUCUUAAGCUGCAGUAAAAGACACAACCAAUGUUUGAAGACUUAAAGCCUCAAGUUCAAUUUAGUUAUUGAACGUUGUCAAAUGUUUGAGAGAGAAUGUUUGAGAGUUGUUUAUUUUUCUAUUUUUCCUUUCUAAUGUUAUUACAGUGUGACCUUAAAUAAAUAGGUCAAAGUGUGUGUUUUUUAUAUAGAAUUUAAUUGAAUGCAAUAAAAAUGUAAAACUGA